UACGAAGGGGGCUAGCGUUGUUCGGAAUUACUGGGCGUAAAGCGUGCGCAGGCGGCUUCUCAAGUCAGAGGUGAAAGCCCAGAGCUCAACUCUGGAAUGGCCUUUGAGACUAGAGGACUUGGGUACGGGAGAGGUGAGUGGAAUUCCGAGUGUAGAGGUGAAAUUCGUAGAUAUUCGGAAGAACACCAGUGGCGAAGGCGGCUCACUGGCCCGUUACCGACGCUCAGGCUCGACAGCGUGGGGAGCAAACAGG
rnacentral:rRNA from 1 species